AAAAAAACAAACUCUGGGUUUCUGUGUCCAACUUUAACUGUCCGUCUUAUAUGAAUUUUUUUAUAAUUUGUAUUUUCAUUGUUGUUAGAUGAUAAAACAUAAUUAAUACUUUGUGCGUGACUUGUCUUUUUAAUUUUUUUUUCAUAAUUUUUUUAAAUAAGAUGAACGGUUAAACGUUAGGCACGGAAACU
rnacentral:pre_miRNA from 1 species